ACUAAAUAGAUACCCGGGUAGUCCACGCCGUAAACGAUGGAUACUAGCUGUUCGGAGCAAUCUGAGUGGCUAAAGCGAAAAGUGAUAAGUAUCCCACCUGGGGAGUACGCACGCAAGUGUGAAACUCAAAGGAAUUGACGGGGGCCCGCACAAGCGGUGGAGCAUGUGGUUUAAUUCGAUGAUACGCGAGGAACCUUACCAGGGCUUAAAUGUAGAUUGACAGGACUGGAAACAGUUUUUCUUCGGACAAUUUACAAGGUGCUGCAUGGUUGUCGUCAGCUCGUGCCGUGAGGUGUCAGGUUAAGUCCUAUAACGAGCGCAACCCCUGUCAUUAGUUGCCAGCGAGUCAUGUCGGGAACUCUAACGAGACUGCCAGUGUAAACUGUGAGGAAGGUGGGGAUGACGUCAAAUCAUCACGGCCCUUACGUCCUGGGCCACACACGUGCUACAAUGGUAGGUACAGAGAGCAGCCACUGCGCGAGCAGGAGCGAAUCUACAAAACCUAUCUCAGUUCGGAUCGGAGU
rnacentral:rRNA from 1 species